rnacentral:rRNA from 1 species
CCUACGGGCGGCAGCAGUGAGGAAUAUUGGUCAAUGGCCGGGAGGCUGAACCAGCCAAGUCGCGUGAGGGAAGACGGCCCUACGGGUUGUAAACCUCUUUUGUCAGGGAGCAAGGUGCAGCUCGGGACCUGCUGUGAGAGUCCCUUAAGAAAAAGCAACGGCUAACUCCGUGCCAGCAGCCGCGGUAAUACGGAGGAUGCGAGCGUUAUCCGGAUUUAUUGGGUUUAAAGGGUGCGCGGGCGGAGGGAAAAGUCAGCGGUAAAGCCGGGGGGCUCAACCCCGCACUGCCGUUGAAACUGUGUGCCUUGAGUGCAGGUGAGGUAGGCGGAAUGCGUGGUGUAGCGGUGAAAUGCGUAGAUAUCACGAAGAACUCCGAUCGCGAAGGCAGCUUACUGGAGCGCAACUGACGUUGAUGCUCGAAAGCGUGGGUAUCGAACAGGAUUAGAUACCCGUGUAGUC